CUCGCCAGCCGAUCUCUGGCCUCCGCCUCCUCCCCGGCCAUCCACCCCGCCAUCGGCCGCCCAGGCGCUCGCGGCCCCCCUCCCCGGUCGCGGCCGCCCUGGCGCCGGCCGUCCCCACCAGCCCGAGCAGCCCGGCCCAAUACGGAGUCUUCUUCCUCGCGACGCCGCCGUCCUCAUUCUCGACGCUUCCUCUUGUUUGCACCAAAGGCCGGCGGCGGCGGCGGCGGGCAGCGUACUCGGAUCCUGUAGGGCCGCGGAAGUCGCCAAGGCGCCGGAACUGGGGACGUGGGAAGGCAAGACGCUGGUCCAACGGCAGUGCCCAGGACAACGAGGCGGCGAGCAGGCACUGGUUCGUGGGUUAUCGACUGGGUCAGUGAGGAACACCUGAAUUCUUUUUUUACAAUUCGAAACUUCUCAAGCCGUUAGAGCUGAGACAUGGAAGAUGAAGAAAACAUUGAGGAGGAACUGUUUCUUGUGGAGUCGCAACUCCAUGACAUUCAAGGUCAAAUUAAAACAUUACUUGAUCGCCAAGAGGAGUUGUAUGAGCGACAGUUACAGUUAAAGGCUUUGCUAGAAGUAUCUAAGAUGUCCAGAAACAAAUCAAAUUAUGGAUCUUCAGUUACUCUGGAAGAUUGGUCUGGGAGCUUCCCAUGGGAUUCUCAGGCUGAUGAUACACGAUUCAAUGUAUUUGGCAUCACCUCCUACCGAUCAAAUCAACGAGAAAUAAUUAACACAGUCAUGAGUGGAAAAGAUGUUCUGGUCAUAAUGGCUGCUGGUGGUGGGAAGAGCCUGUGUUACCAACUCCCAGCUGUACUUUGUAAUGGAAUUGCAUUGGUUGUCAGCCCUUUACUUUCUCUUAUCCAGGACCAGGUCAUGGGACUGGCAGCUUUAGGUAUACCAGCAUACAUGCUGACUUCAACUACCAACAAGGAAGUUGAGAAGUUCAUCUAUAGGGCACUUGAUAAAGGUGAAGGAGAAUUGAAGAUAUUGUAUGUGACACCAGAAAAGAUAUCGAAAAGUAAAAGGUUCAUGUCUAAGCUUGAGAAAUGCCAUCAUGCUGGACGUCUUUCUCUCGUUGCAGUAGAUGAGGCACACUGCUGUAGUCAAUGGGGCCAUGAUUUUCGCCCAGACUACAAGAAUCUUGGCAUUUUAAAGAUCCAAUUUCCUAGUGUUCCCAUGAUAGCUCUAACUGCAACUGCAACAAGUAAAGUUCAAAUGGAUUUGAUAGAGAUGCUUCAUAUCCCGAAGUGUGUCAAGUUUGUUAGCACAGUUAACAGGCCCAACCUUUUCUAUAAGGUAUAUGAAAAAUCACCUGUUGGAAAGGUUGUGAUUGAUGAGAUCGCAAAUUUUAUAAGUGAAUCAUACCCAAAUAACGAAUCUGGAAUUGUGUAUUGCUUUUCAAGGAGGGAAUGCGAACAGGUUGCAAAAGAAUUGUGCGAUAGGGGUAUUUCGGCUGAGCAUUAUCAUGCAGAUAUGGAUAUUAUUGCUCGUGAGAAAAUUCACAUGCGUUGGAGCCAAGGGAAAUCACAGGUCAUCGUUGGAACAGUGGCGUUUGGAAUGGGAAUCAACAAACCAGAUGUUCGAUUUGUGAUUCAUCAUAGCCUUAGCAAGUCGAUGGAGACAUACUACCAGGAGAGUGGUCGGGCAGGGCGGGAUGGAUUAUCUUCAGAAUGUGUUUUGUAUUAUCGGCCUGGCGAUGUUCCAAGGCAGAGUUCAAUGGUCUUCUACGAAAAUUGUGGCCUUCAAAACCUAUAUGACAUUGUACGAUACUGUCAGGACAGUCCAGCCAGCAAAAGACGCUUCCAUUUCAAAGCCUUUUGGCCAAGCUUGGAUGGGUUCAUGGAAACAGUUGAGGCUGCGUGGACUGCUGUACCAGCCCGCCCCUGCCCAUUGGAAACACUGUCACUGAAGUUCAAGGCAACAGCAAGGAGCUUGCAAAGUUGGAGCCAAAAGUCGUCUAAGAGGAGUUGUCGGCGUGGUGCUUUCUUUCAGCAUUUUGGAGAGGCUCUGCAGGACUGCAAUGGAAUGUGCGACAAUUGUGCUUCUAGUAUCGAGCUCAAGGAGAUAGAUGCCACCAACCAUACCAAAAUUGUAGUUUCAGUUCUACGCGACCUGAAACUUAAUGACCAAAGAGCUACAUUGUUGCAAUUGGUGGAUAAGUUCAAGGCUAAGUGGAAAGGUUUAGUUGAUAUGUUGAACCAGGUUAUUCCAAUAAAGACGUUGAUCUUAAAAGAGAAGAAAUUGAGCAGUUGAUAGUCCAGCUUAUACUCGACCAUGUUUUGAAAGAAGAAUUUCAGCAUACAGCAUAUUCAACCAAUGCGUACGUUACCUUAGGACCACUGUGGAAGCCAGCCUUGCAAGGGAACAGACCUGUGAAGCUUGAGAUUGCUGUCGAGAGUUCUCAGGAUAGAGGAGGUGGUGGUAGAUUGUCCAAAGGCGCAAAGCGCAGCUGGAUGAGUGAUCUGGAAGCUAAACUUGAUGAACUGCGCAGGGAGCUGUCGUCAUCAUCUAGUAACAGGGGCAUAAGCAUAUUUCCCCAUGCAGUUCUAUCCUCUGAGCAGAUUUCGCUCCUGAGCUGCCAAAAGCCAACCACGGAGGCGGAGCUUGAGAAGGUCAUAGGGAAGGUGAAGACGGAGAAGUACGGUGGCAGGAUCAUUGAGCUGAUGCGGUCCUAUGUCACGGAUGCAAGAGCUGGAAAUGGAGCUGAUGCCAGCAAGAGGAACAAGAAGGAUAAGGAUGUUGUCUGUGGAGAGUAGCAGCGAAGAAUAACAUUGGUCAGGGACUCCUUGGUAUCCUUUCCGCGUCUCUAGUCUCUUGGAGUGUGGUUGUCUCCUGUCGCUGCAUACAAGACACAAAAUGCAUACCUAGUGGGAUAACUUUUUUUUUCUUUUUGCGAAACAUACCCAGUCUCUUGGGGGUGUGGUUGUUUCCUGUCGCUGCAUACAAGACACAAAAUGCAUACCUGGUGGGAUAACUUUUUUUCUUUCUUUUUGCGAAACGUACAGUGGGAUAGCCUGAAUGUCUUGACACUAAAAAGUGCGUGCAAAAUUGCAAAAGGAAGAAAUAUCAUCAUAUUAUUAGUGCGCAUUGUCCUA